GUAACGGCGAGUGAAGCGGCAACAGCUCAAAUUUGAAAUCUGGUCACCUUACGGAGGCCCGAGUUGUAAUUUGAAGAGGAUGCUUUUGGCGAGGUGCCUUCCGAGUGCCCUGGAACGGGACGCCACAGAGGGUGAGAGCCCCGUAUGGUUGGACACCGAGCCUAUGUAAAGCUCCUUCGACGAGUCGAGUAGUUUGGGAAUGCUGCUCAAAAUGGGAGGUAAACCCCUUCUAAAGCUAAAUAUUGGCCAGAGACCGAUAGCGCACAAGUAGAGUGAUCGAAAGAUGAAAAGCACUUUGAAAAGAGAGUUAAACAGCACGUGAAAUUGUUGAAAGGGAAGCGCUUGCGACCAGACUUGCGCCCGUCGGAUCAACCGUCGCUUGUCGGCGGCGCACUCCGGCGGGCUCAGGCCAGCAUCAGUUUUCCCGGGGGGAGAAAGGCGGUGGGAAUGUAGCUCCUAGGAGUGUUAUAGCCCGCCGCGUAAUACCCUCGGGGGGACUGAGGACCGCGCAUCUGCAAGGA
rnacentral:rRNA from 1 species